rnacentral:lncRNA from 1 species
UGUGUGUCAGACCGUUUACUAAACACCAGGACUGUUGUAGGCGACUGUAAGAAAUAAGAAUAUUGCAUGGUUACAAUUCUUGAAUGCUUACCUUGUGUCUUGUUCCUUACUCUACAGAAAUUUUCUAAUCCCGUGGCGAACCCCCGUACUUCAACAAAAGAAAACUGAGAUCCAGGAAAGGGAAGUGAUUUUCCAAAGACACACCUGUGAAAGGUGAGGAGAACAGCCCAGUGAGGCUGAGGCCACACAAUUAACCCCAGUCUUUGCACUACAACUCUACCAGGGAUCCUGGUUUGGCUCAUUUUCUUUCUUCUGCACCAUGAUUGUUCACCUUUUCAUUACCAGCAACAUACCCAAAGACCUAGCUAUAGACUCGUUGGAAUCUGUUACUUAGCAGCUGUGUGAAUCAAGUGUUCAAUAGGAAUAAUAAGAUGUAUUCAUCUUACCUUUUCAGAACAUUAUGAAGAACAAAUGUGGUAAGACAUAUGAAAAUGCUUUGUAAAGUGUUAGAUGCUUAAUACACAGAAGACAUUGCUUCCAGAUCUGUUUCAACGUACCCCAAGAAUGGAAUAAGUGGAAUAUGCUGGUUUCAUGCACUGUGGCAAGGGGGUCUCAUCUUGGCUAGACUUGAAUAAGUGGAUUUGUUGCCUGGCCUCUGUGGAUGGCUCUUUCUCUGGGCUUUUGUGUAUUUGAUUUUUUAUUUGCUCCAGCAGCCGUGUUGAACCAUGAAAGGACCUCAGGAAUGAAACCCACACACAGCAAAGCAACAAAGUGAAAGAAGCGUGGAUUCCUAAUGCAGGAGGCACUGAACCAAUCAAUACCCACUGCCCUCCAGACCUCCACAUGAAAGAAAAAAACUGCUGUCCUGUGAAGAAGACACUCCCCAGAUGCCAGCAACUUGAUAUUGGACUUCCUGCCUUUAGAAACGUGAGAAAUAAAUUUUUUUUCUUUAUAAGUUA